rnacentral:lncRNA from 1 species
UGGAAGCGGCAUCUGAGAAGCCUUCGUUAUUCGGUUGCUUGUUUUCGCAGCAACAGCAGAAUCAUUUCCUCAGAAUCUAACCUGGCCAACCUGUCCGAACGCCUGUGGCGAUCUCAAAGACGUCCCGUAUCCUUUUGGAAUAGGAUUUGGCUACUCCUUGUCUUUCCGAUUUGAGAUCGAUUGCCAGCAAACUCGCGGCAUC